rnacentral:lncRNA from 1 species
GCUUUUUAGGGCCGCACCUGUGGCAUAUGUAAGUUCCCAGGCUAGGGGCUGAAUGGGAGAAACAGCUGCCAGCCCGCGCCACAGCCAAUGCAACGCAGGACCUGAGCCUCGGCUGCAACCUACACCAAAGCUCAUGGCAACACUGGAUCCUUAACCCACUGAACAAGGUCAGGGAUCAAACCUGCAUCCUCAUGGAUCCUAGUCGGGUUCAUUAAUCAAUGAGCCACAAAGGGAACUCCCUUUUCUUUCUUUUUUUUUUCUAAUCAAAUUCUUAUAUGCAACAGUGUUCAUCUUACCAUUUUUUUCUAGCAGAGAAGUGAAAGCUAUGGUAACCUAACAUUUCUUCCUUGAGAGAGAAAAUAAUUCACACUGAUUUUUUUUUCCCCAGUAUAGCAAAGUUAUGUCUCUGAUCCAACCAGAACUCUAGUUGAUCAAAAACAGAAAGAACAUGGUAUGUACAGCCAAAUGUGGAAACAGGUUUAUUCUUCCUCUUCUUUGGAAGCUUCAAUUUAGUGUACUAAUUUGCAGGUAUAAAUAUGAAUGGUGCAACUAGGAAAACCCUGGUGUCCAUUUCCGUCAUAUAAACCUGGUGACGUGACCAAGCCCCCACUUUGUUAACAGCUCUAAAACAAAAACUUUCAAUUGCACUGACUUUCUAUUCAAGCAAUUGGUUCAAAUUACUACACAGGAUUGCAGAACAGCCCACGCUCCACCACUUUUUCCUUUUUAGGGCCACACCUGCAAGAUAUGGAAGUUCCCAAGCUAGGGACCGAAUCAGAGCUGCAGCUGCCAGUCUACGCCACAGCCACAGCAACAAGGAUCCAAGCCACAGCUUGCAGCAAUGUCAGAUCCUUAACCCACUGAUGGAGGCCAGGGAUCAAACUUGCAUCCUCACGGACACUAUGUUGGGUUCUUUUUUUUUUUUUUUUUUGGCUUUUUAGGGCCACACCCGAGGCAUAUGGAGGUUCCCAGGCUAGGGGUUGAAUCGGAGCUGCAGCCUCAGGCCUAUGCCACAGCCACAGCCAAGCCAAAUCCGAGCAGUGUCUGCAAUGUACACCAGAGCUCGUGGCAACGCCUUAACCCACUGAUUGAGGCCAGGGAUCAAACCCAUAUCCUCAUGGAUCUUAGUCGGGUUCGUUAACCAUUGAACCACAAUAGGAACUCUACUUCUUUUUUCAAAAUUCUUUAAAUUUAUUUAAAAGUUUUAGAUCAAUUAUGGUUGAUUUUCGAUGGUGAGGUGUCCAGCAAAGUGAUUCAGUAUACACACACACAUUUUCUUUUACAGAUUUUUGUCUACAUAGGUUAUUAUAUGAUAUUGAAUAUAGUUCCCUGCACUAUACAUUAAGUCCUUGUUUAUCUUUUUUAUAGUGGUGUUUAUCUGUUACCAUUUUCUCUCACUUUUUAUUAGCAUGCUCCUAUGUGCUCCCUUUACCUUACAAGGGAUUUUCUGAUCCUAAAAAAAAGGGAGUCCAACAAACACUUCUUUUCCAGCUACAGAAAUUCCUUGACUGCAGAAUUUAAAUGUUGCAGUCAAAGUGUUAAAGUCCACAUUCUGAAAAGCAAAUCCUGUUCUCCAAAACUCCUAUCUAAUUCCAGAAAUGUUUCCUCAGGGUGGAAACAAAAAUUCAAAAGCUUGAUCUUCAAUCCCUGGUGAAAAUUACAGAGAUUACAUUCUUUUGAGAAAAACUGGAGUAUGAAGGUAUGGCCACAUUUCCUUACUUCAGUGCUUCUCACUCCUUGCACGUUUCUCCCCGUCCUUGAAAAAGAGCUCCCAGCUUUCGAGAUUCCCUAAUGUCACACUUCCAACUCUAAGUUAGGAGCUCAGUCUGUGUCGUGUUCUCACGCAUCGCCAGCAGACACGCUCCCAUCUGAGGACUAUCUUAGGAUGUAAAUCCUUUAAAAAAAAAAAGAAUCCCACUGCUUCAGUUUUGCCAAGUACAUAUUCUUAACAUGUUUCCUGAAAAUGAAGGAGACCUGUGACUUGAUCAGAUCACAACUCAGAAGAGUCCCACGACCACAGGACAUGGGUGACGUUCCAGCCAUUAGUCGUGGCUGGCUCCCACGUGUGCCCUGUUCUUAUGGCCACAUAUGUUAAUGAACUUUCUCAUUAAUCCCUUCCCUCUCACAUCAUCUCUAAAUGGGAAUUUUCUCCUAGAAAGGAAAAGCUCACACAUUUUCUUGACAGCAACGAGAGCUAUGUCUCUAAGACAAUCAUGAUCACCGAGUGGCCAGUCUGUAUGAGAGAAACUGGGAAAAUAUAUAUUGAACGUUGAGACAACAUAGAGUAUUAAGAGUUUGUCGAUAUUAACAGAGGUUUGUGAGCUUUCCUGUUUAUUCCAAGGGUAUGUCACAUGACCAGUGUUCCUAAGGGACAUCCGAAUCAAAGUCUAUGCUAAGAUACUUCAAUGCCAUCUAGACCAAUCCCUAGGUUUUUAUAUACCAACAUUAGGAGUUCCCGUCGUGGUGCAGCAGAAACGAAUCUGACUAGGAAUCAUGAGUUUGCGGGUUCAAUCCCUGGCCUCGUUCAGUGGGUUAAGGAUCCAACCUGAGUCCUCAUGGAUACCAGUCAGGUUCAGGAACCACUGAGCCAAGAUGGGAACUCUGUGGGGCAAGUUUCUCAACAUCUGUCUUCUCAACUAUAAAACGGAGUUCAUUACAAGUCUCUACCCAGAGGCUGAACCAUGUUAGGAGGAGCUGCCGCUUACAGAGUGGGCGGUCAUUGGCAAAUGAUUGCGUGAAGCCAUAGACAAGCCUUCCAGAACUUUGGAAGUGGCCACUCAAGUGAAGAGGAGCUAGCUGCAUGAUAAAUCCACCUCUCUCCCCACCACAGAAGCUUGUUGUAGGGGUUAAAUGAGAUAAUCCUCGGAAGGCACUCAGUAAAGCAUUCAGCAAGCAGUGAGGGCUGCAUGAACUUAACUAACACUAAAUAUUAAUGAAACAAAAUUACGUAAAAAGAGCCAAUGGCAUCAGCCCAUUCACUUUAUCUCAAACUGUUAGAGCAAGGGAAACAGGCUCCUUCGGAACAAACUUUGGGAGGGGGGUGUGGAUGGAAUAUUUAUUUUACACAGUAAAUUGUCAUAAUGAAUUGAAAAGGACCAAAAUACCUAAAAUCAUGGGAGCAAACGUUAUCAAAAGGGUUUUGAUGAUUUCCUAUAAAUAUCUGAGGUAACUCAACAAAGACCCCAAAUGCCUCUCAAUGGCUCAGAUUAGGAAGUACCUCAGGUUACCAAUUUAAGAAAAAAAUGACCAAAGUGAUCAUGCUACUGGCUCCAAAUCCAAAUAUGAAUGCAAUCAAGUCACUCCAACUUGCCAGAUUCUCUGAAACCCCAGGAAUUAAAAGUCCUGCGAACGUGUAUGUGCAUGUGUCUGUGUGUGUGUGUGUGUGCGCACACGCUCUCUUCUCCCUCCUGAGUUUCUCCCCACCCCUCCUCCAGCCAGCUGUUAACAGUGCACCUGCCGCUUGAGCAGAGAAAGGCAGAAGCAUUUACCAUUAAAUCAACAUUUCUUUGGGAAUUAGAUCUAAAUCCAUCCCAUCACCCGAGAUAUAUUUGGCUGCCCCAAAUCCCUAGAUUACCAAUAAUAUUCCAGCCUAACUACUAUGAAAUCUGUCAGACUAACUGAUGGCCUAGGAGGACCCUGACUGUCAGAACAAUUCUGCUUAUCUGAUCAUCGCCUGCUCCCAAACAGCAAAGAGUUCACAAAACGGAGAUGCCCUGGGGAGAAAAGAACAGAGAGACAGAGGGUACCUGCCAAAGGAAAACUUCUUCCUCUCUAUCAAUUGUGGGGGGGGAGUUGAACCACUUGUCAUCAACAGAGAAUUUUAGACUUAAAGAUUCAUUAAACUGAAAGAAAAAUGGGCAGUCAAUAUUCUUUAACUAACUGAAUUUAGUGGUACUGACCUACUUUCAGGGACAUUGCGAUGGUUCAUGAAAAUGAAAUUGCCUCAUUAUCACUUUGAAGAUUAAGGACACAUAAAGAAACCUCAUAUAAAUAUUGCCAUACUACUGAAAAUUGUUAUUAAUAUCAUUUUUCUUUAUUCUUUUUCAUGGCAGCACACUUGGCACAUGCAAGUUCCUGGACCAGGGAUUGCACCUGAGCUGCAGCUGUGACCUAUUCCACAGCUGUAGCAACACCGGAUCCUUUAACUCACUGCACCAGGCCAUGGUCUAACCCUCACCUUCGCAGUGACCCAAGCCAUGCAAUCAGAUUCUUAACCUACUGCGCCACAGCAGGAACUCAGAAAAUUACUUAUUUGAGAAAGCUGCCUACUUUGUGAGAAUUAACAUCAAAGGAAGUCUUGGUUACUCCAGUUUGUUCCUGCUUGGUCUGAGACACCCUCCUCCACUCCCCCCCUUCCCUCUUCUCCCAGUAACAAUUUGUUUCAAAUUAGGCAACCGAGGAGAAUGUGCGCCCUGACCUGACCAAUGGGAAGGGGACAAGUAUACCACCUGCGUUAGGGAUAAAUGGGGGGGGGGUGUCUUCCCUCUUUCUUGAGCGCUUUUUGAGCCCUCGGGCCCUUCUGCAAAAGUAAAGAGGCUGAGAUCUCCCCAUGUGCAUGCAUCUUACUUUUUGACACUGACAAUCCAAGCCAGAGUCACUGCGACCCAGUCACUUUCAACAUUUAGCAUACUUGAGACGAAUUCUUGACACAGAUUCAGGUUACUAGAAGAAACCUGAAAUCUCAUCUACAUAAAUAUUUACUUGCAUAAAGUCAAGUGCUAUGAACCUGCCCAGAAGAGGAGGCUCCUGAGAGCAACACAAUAACAAAAUGCAAUCAGCUUACCAGCUUCUUCCUUUGUGAAGUGUGUCUGCAUCAGACCAAGGCAGAGGAACAUACUACAAGGGCAGUAUGACGCUUCGGGCUGCCAGGGCAGGUCCUCCUAAGCUUUCUACAAAACCAAAAUCCCUGAAGAAAAGGUCUCUAGCUCUACCUCGAGUUUUCCUUCAAAAAGACAGAAACACAGAAAGCUACACUGAGGACAGAUAUUAUAUACAGAAAAGAACCAGAGUUAAAAUUGGAUUCUUCUUCCUGCCCAUUUCCUCAAGGAAAUGCACGGCCCCACCCAGCCUUGUACAUAACACUAUGCUUCUUCAUGGAUCCCGGAUACACAGACUACAAAUAAAACCUUUGCUGCUAAAAGCAGCGACAGGUUCCUUGCUGAACUGAUGAGGUCUUAGGUUCUAGCAAUUCAGCCCGAAGACAGAUGAAAGAGACAUAAAUGCCACAUACAAGGAGAAAAAGCCAAGGGCCUGAUCCUUAGUCAGGAUCCUUAGCCUCCUGCCACAGACCUAGGUGGUAACUUCGAGCUGUGUGUUAUUACCAACAACAAGCAUUAAGAUGCUGCAUUCUGGUUCUGUGUCUCUUACUCUGGGCUGAAUGGAUUUUCUCGAAUUGUUUAUGGGUGAGAUGACGAGGCUCAGGGAGCUAUACAAGAUGAAGGGGGGCAUAUGCACACUUUCAAUUGCCUGACAGUAAAAAUGGGGUCUAAUUAAAAAAAAAAUCAGUUCUGGGAACAACACAAAACUCUCCUCAUCCUUCUUACCACGUCAUAUUCUGGGUUCUUCAAAAGGAUGACUUCAGUACACAUGAGUAAGGAAUCAAAGAGGAAUUUUCCUCUAAAUAAAAACACCAGCCUCCUUUUAAAUGUAGAUUCCAACAACCCAACACAAACAUAUGCCAUGCUACUUCCCAAAAGGAAUUCCCAAAUAAAUUGAAAUCUAAUUCAGAUUGCAAGUGGAUUCAGUUCUUCAACCCAUGUAAUGUGAAAAAAGUAAACAAUCCUCAAAAAAAGUUUAAAUGGAAUUUAGCAGUUGAGAAUUAACAAGAUCCCGGAACAUAAGAAGAACUGGGUCUGGGGAGUACAAUAAAAACGUGAAUUUAACAGUCUUGGCGUCUGAGAGCAGACUGCUUGGGAAACUCUCUCCUGAUCCACGUUCUUUCCACAGUAGAACCACAUCUUAGGGUGCAAAGAAGUUUCUGUGAUUGGGCAAGAAAUCUACUGCAGAAAACCAUUUUGAUAAGAAGACUUUCAAAAAAAAAA